rnacentral:rRNA from 1 species
UACGUAGGGGGGCAAGCGUUGUCCGGAAUUUAUUGGGCGUAAAGAGCGCGUAGGCGGUCCGAUAAGUCGGCUGUGAAAGUCAGGGGCUCAACCCUUGGAAGCCGGCCGAUACUGUCGGACUAGAGUCCGGAAGAGGCGAGUGGAAUUCCCGGUGUAGCGGUGAAAAUGCGCAGAUAUCGGGAGGAACACCGGUGGCGAAGGCGGGUCUCUGGGCAUUUCCUGACGCUGAGGCGCGAAAGCGUGGGGAGCAAACGGG